rnacentral:rRNA from 1 species
UGGGCUGUUACUGACGCUGAGGAGCGAAAGCAUGGGGAGCGAACAGGAUUAGAUACCCUGGUAGUCCAUGCCGUAAACGUUGGGCACUAGGUGUGGGGAACAUUCCACGUUUUCCGCGCCGUAGCUAACGCAUUAAGUGCCCCGCCUGGGGAGUACGGCCGCAAGGCUAAAACUCAAAGGAAUUGACGGGGGCCCGCACAAGCGGCGGAGCAUGCGGAUUAAUUCGAUGCAACGCGAAGAACCUUACCAAGGCUUGACAUACACCGGACCGGGCCAGAGAUGGUCUUUCCCCCUUGUGGGGCUGGUGUACAGGUGGUGCAUGGUUGUCGUCAGCUCGUGUCGUGAGAUGUUGGGUUAAGUCCCGCAACGAGCGCAACCCUCGUUCUAUGUUGCCAGCACGUGAUGGUGGGGACUCAUAGGAGACUGCCGGGGUCAACUCGGAGGAAGGUGGGGAUGACGUCAAAUCAUCAUGCCCCUUAUGUCUUGGGCUUCACGCAUGCUACAAUGGCCAGUACAAUGGGUUGCGAUGCCGCGAGGUGGAGCUAAUCCCAAAAAGCUGGUCUCAGUUCGGAUCGUGGUCUGCAACUCGACCACGUGAAGUCGGAGUCGCUAGUAAUCGCAGAUCAGCAACGCUGCGGUGAAUACGUUCCCGGGCCUUGUACACACCGCCCGUCAAGUCACGAAAGUUGGUAACACCCGAAGCCGGUGGCCUAACCCUUGUGGGGGGAGCCGUCGAAGGUGGGACUGGCGAUUGGGACUAAGUCGUAA